AUUGAACGCUGGCGGAAUGCUUUACACAUGCAAGUCGAACGGCAGCACGGGGGCAGCCCUGGUGGCGAGUGGCGAACGGGUGAGUAAUACAUCGGAACGUGCCCGGUCGUGGGGGAUAACGUAGCGAAAGUUACGCUAAUACCGCAUACGAUCUGAGGAUGAAAGCGGGGGACCUUCGGGCCUCGCGCGAUCGGAGCGGCCGAUGUCAGAUUAGGUAGUUGGUGGGGUAAAGGCCUAGCAAGCCGACGAUCUGUAGCUGGUCUGAGAGGACGACCAGCCACACUGGGACUGAGACACGGCCCAGACUCCUACGGGAGGCAGCAGUGGGGAAUUUUGGACAAUGGGCGCAAGCCUGAUCCAGCCAUUCCGCGUGCAGGACGAAGGCCUUCGGGUUGUAAACUGCUUUUGUACGGAACGAAAAGGCUCUGGCUAAUACCUGGGGCUCAUGACGGUACCGUAAGAAUAAGCACCGGCUAACUACGUG
rnacentral:rRNA from 1 species